AACGAACGCUGGCGGCAGGCUUAACACAUGCAAGUCGAGCGCCCCGCAAGGGGAGCGGCAGACGGGUGAGUAACGCGUGGGAACGUACUCUUUGCUAUGGAAUAGCUCCGGGGAACUGGAAUUAAUACCGCAUGUGCUCUAUGGGGGAAAGCUUUAUCGGCAAAGGAUCGGCCCGCGUUGGAUUAGCUAGUUGGUGGGGUAAUGGCCUACCAAGGCGACGAUCCAUAGCUGGUCUGAGAGGAUGAUCAGCCACAUUGGGACUGUGACACGGCCCAAACUCCUACGGGAGGCAGCAGUGGGGAAUAUUGGACAAUGGGCGCAAGCCUGAUCCAGCCAUGCCGCGUGAGUGAUGAAGGCCUUAGGGUUGUAAAGCUCUUUCACCGGAGAAGAUAAUGACGGUAUCCGGAGAAGAAGCCCCGGCUAACUUCGUGCCAGCCGCCGCAGUAACAC
rnacentral:rRNA from 1 species